UACGUAGGGUGCAAGCGUUAAUCGGAAUUACUGGGCGUAAAGCGUGCGCAGGCGGUUUUGUAAGACCGAUGUGAAAUCCCCGGGCUUAACCUGGGAACUGCAUUGGUGACUGCAAGGCUUGAGUGUGUCAGAGGGAGGUGGAAUUCCGCGUGUAGCAGUGAAAUGCGUAGAUAUGCGGAGGAACACCGAUGGCGAAGGCAGCCUCCUGGGCUAACACUGACGCUCAUGCACGAAAGCGUGGGGAGCAAACGGG
rnacentral:rRNA from 1 species